UUAAAUUGAAGAGUUUGAUCAUGGCUCAGAUUGAACGCUGGCGGCAGGCCUAACACAUGCAAGUCGAACGGUAACAGGAAACAGCUUGCUGUUUCGCUGACGAGUGGCGGACGGGUGAGUAAUGUCUGGGAAACUGCCUGAUGGAGGGGGAUAACUACUGGAAACGGUAGCUAAUACCGCAUAACGUCGCAAGACCAAAGAGGGGGACCUUCGGGCCUCUUGCCAUCGGAUGUGCCCAGAUGGGAUUAGCUAGUAGGUGGGGUAACGGCUCACCUAGGCGACGAUCCCUAGCUGGUCUGAGAGGAUGACCAGCCACACUGGAACUGAGACACGGUCCAGACUCCUACGGGAGGCAGCAGUGGGGAAUAUUGCACAAUGGGCGCAAGCCUGAUGCAGCCAUGCCGCGUGUAUGAAGAAGGCCUUCGGGUUGUAAAGUACUUUCAGCGGGGAGGAAGGGAGUAAAGUUAAUACCUUUGCUCAUUGACGUUACCCGCAGAAGAAGCACCGGCUAACUCCGUGCCAGCAGCCGCGGUAAUACGGAGGGUGCAAGCGUUAAUCGGAAUUACUGGGCGUAAAGCGCACGCAGGCGGUUUGUUAAGUCAGAUGUGAAAUCCCCGGGCUCAACCUGGGAACUGCAUCUGAUACUGGCAAGCUUGAGUCUCGUAGAGGGGGGUAGAAUUCCAGGUGUAGCGGUGAAAUGCGUAGAGAUCUGGAGGAAUACCGGUGGCGAAGGCGGCCCCCUGGACGAAGACUGACGCUCAGGUGCGAAAGCGUGGGGAGCAAACAGGAUUAGAUACCCUGGUAGUCCACGCCGUAAACGAUGUCGACUUGGAGGUUGUGCCCUUGAGGCGUGGCUUCCGGAGCUAACGCGUUAAGUCGACCGCCUGGGGAGUACGGCCGCAAGGUUAAAACUCAAAUGAAUUGACGGGGGCCCGCACAAGCGGUGGAGCAUGUGGUUUAAUUCGAUGCAACGCGAAGAACCUUACCUGGUCUUGACAUCCACAGAACUUUCCAGAGAUGGAUUGGUGCCUUCGGGAACUGUGAGACAGGUGCUGCAUGGCUGUCGUCAGCUCGUGUUGUGAAAUGUUGGGUUAAGUCCCGCAACGAGCGCAACCCUUAUCCUUUGUUGCCAGCGGUCCGGCCGGGAACUCAAAGGAGACUGCCAGUGAUAAACUGGAGGAAGGUGGGGAUGACGUCAAGUCAUCAUGGCCCUUACGACCAGGGCUACACACGUGCUACAAUGGCGCAUACAAAGAGAAGCGACCUCGCGAGAGUAAGCGGACCUCAUAAAGUGCGUCGUAGUCCGGAUUGGAGUCUGCAACUCGACUCCAUGAAGUCGGAAUCGCUAGUAAUCGUGGAUCAGAAUGCCACGGUGAAUACGUUCCCGGGCCUUGUACACACCGCCCGUCACACCAUGGGAGUGGGUUGCAAAAGAAGUAGGUAGCUUAACCUUCGGGAGGGCGCUUACCACUUUGUGAUUCAUGACUGGGGUGAAGUCGUAACAAGGUAACCGUAGGGGAACCUGCGGUUGGAUCACCUCCUUACCUUAAAGAAGC
rnacentral:rRNA from 1 species